ACGUGGGCAAUCUGCCCUUCACUCUGGGACAAGCCCUGGAAACGGGGUCUAAUACCGGAUACGACACGGGGUCGCAUGAUCUCCGUGUGGAAAGCUCCGGCGGUGAAGGAUGAGCCCGCGGCCUAUCAGCUAGUUGGUGAGGUGAUGGCUCACCAAGGCGACGACGGGUAGCCGGCCUGAGAGGGCGACCGGCCACACUGGGACUGAGACACGGCCCAGACUCCUACGGGAGGCAGCAGUGGGGAAUAUUGCACAAUGGGCGAAAGCCUGAUGCAGCGACGCCGCGUGAGGGAUGACGGCCUUCGGGUUGUAAACCUCUUUCAGCAGGGAAGAAGCGAAAGUGACGGUACCUGCAGAAGAAGCGCCGGCUAACUACGUGCCAGCAGCCGCGGUAAUACGUAGGGCGCAAGCGUUGUCCGGAAUUAUUGGGCGUAAAGAGCUCGUAGGCGGCUUGUCACGUCGGUUGUGAAAGCCCGGGGCUUAACCCCGGGUCUGCAGUCGAUACGGGCAGGCUAGAGUGUGGUAGGGGAGAUCGGAAUUCCUGGUGUAGCGGUGAAAUGCGCAGAUAUCAGGAGGAACACCGGUGGCGAAGGCGGAUCUCUGGGCCAUUACUGACGCUGAGGAGCGAAAGCGUGGGGAGCGAACAGGAUUAGAUACCCUGGUAGUCCACGCCGUAAACGGUGGGAACUAGGUGUUGGCGACAUUCCACGUCGUCGGUGCCGCAGCUAACGCAUUAAGUUCCCCGCCUGG
rnacentral:rRNA from 1 species